CCUACGGGUGGCUGCAGUGAGGAAUAUUGGUCAAUGGGCGAGAGCCUGAACCAGCCAAGUAGCGUGCAGGAUGACGGCCUUAUGGGUUGUAAACUGCUUUUAUGCGAGGAUAAAGUUACCCACGUGUGGGUGUUUGCAGGUAUCGCAUGAAUAAGGACCGGAUAAUUCCGUGCCAGCAGCCGAGGUAAUACGGAAGGUUCUGGCGUUAUCCGGAUUUAUUGGGUUUAAAGGGAGCGUAGGCUGUUUUUUAAGCGUGUUGUGAAAUGGACCGGCUCAACCGGUGAUGUGCUGCGCGAACUGGAAGACUGGAGUGUGUUGUAAGUAGGCGGAAUUCGUGGUGUAGCGGUGAAAUGCUUAGAUAUCACGAGGAACUCCGAUUGCGUAGGCAGCUUACUGUCUCACUACUGACGCUGAUGCUCGAAAGCGCGGGUAUCGAACAGGAUUAGAUACCCCUGUAGUC
rnacentral:rRNA from 1 species